rnacentral:rRNA from 1 species
UGCGUAGGCGGCGCGGUAAGUCGGAUGUGAAAUCUCGGAGCUUAACUCCGAAACUGCAUUCGAUACUGCCGUGCUUGAGGACUGGAGAGGAGACUGGAAUUUACGGUGUAGCGGUGAAAUGCGUAGAUAUCGUAAGGAAGACCAGUGGCGAAGGCGGGUCUCUGGACAGUUCCUGACGCUGAGGCACGAAGGCCAGGGAGGCAAAACG